rnacentral:rRNA from 1 species
GACGAACGCUGGCGGCGUGCUUAACACAUGCAAGUCGAACGGAAAGGCCCUGCAUUUGUGGGGUGCUCGAGUGGCGAACGGGUGAGUAACACGAGAGUAACCUGCCCUUGACUUUGGGAUAACUUCAGGAAACUGGGGCUAAUACCGGAUAGGAGCUCCUGCUGCAUGGUGGGGGUUGGAAAGUUUCGGCGGUUGGGGAUGGACUCGCGGCUUAUCAGCUUGCUGGUGGGGUAGUGGCUUACCAAGGCAUUGACGGGUAGCCGGCCUGAGAGGGGGACCGACCACAUUAGGACGGAGAUACGACCCAGACUCCUACGGGAGGCAGCGGAGGGGAGUAUUACACAGUGGGCGGGAGCCUGAUGCGGCGACGCCGCGUGCGGGAUGACGGCCUGCGGGUUGUAAAGCGCUUUCGCCUGUGACGAAGCGUGAGUGACGGUAAUGGAUGAAGAAGCACCGGCUAACUACGUG